rnacentral:piRNA from 1 species
UCUAAAAAGCCUUCUAUUGCCUGUCUACA